CUCGUCUCCCUGCCUUCCGGAAUCCAGACGGGACAGGACCUCCCCCCGGGCUGGCGAGUCACAGACGCCUUUGUCCUUCCGGGUCUGAUGAGCCACUGGCAGCACGGCGUUCGUUUGGGGACCGCCGCUGUGCCGCCCCCUCCCCUCCCUGCCCCCCAGCAGCCCCCACAGCCCUGCACCCGCGUCUGCACGGAGGGCCUGGCCGCCCGGGCCUGGGAUCUGUGGCCCCGCGGGGCCCGUCACAGGUCAGAGCCACCGGCACAGACGGGGCCUCACUCUCGUGCCCUCCGUCCCUGUGUGGAUGGAGUCCAGCUGUGUGCGGGGUGCACGUGGGAGUGAGCGUGAGCGUGAGCUUACGUGCCGGGUCAGGUGCUUCUGUCGAUCCUGCAGGGAGCAUAACGAAGACGCACACUCACGUGGCUCUUGCUCACCAGGCGCUGUGCCAGCAGAGGGACAGAAGAUGGACACGCGGAUGGACAGACGGGCAGACCUGCUCCAGUGUUCACGGAGGCAUCGCGCACGGAGCAGACGGACAAGCGUGUGCAGUGGAGAAAGGCCUGUUUCCUGAGCUCGAAUCUUCCCUCCUCGGAGCCCGUGCGGUUGUUCGAACACUGGGUGAUGAGACCAUCGGGCUCGUUUUCCCGGGGCUGCGCUCGAGUGGGACCGAGCCCCCGGCAGCUCAGCCCGCACGCGGCUUCCCACGCAAGGAGCCGCCAAAACGAAGCCGCCAAGCGUCUCCCCCGGACCAAGCGCGAGCGCCCUGGGUCUGGUCGGGGCAGCCCACAAACCAGGGACACCGCCCCGGCUCUGCUGGCGACCGGGACCGGGCAGAGGGGAAGGUGGAAGCAGAAAUCAUCCCUUCAAUCAUUCAUUCCUUUGUUCAACUCAUAUUUGGUGAAUCCCUAGCUUGAGCCACACCCCAUUUCACACACUAAAGCACAACCUUGAGUAAAACACACCAAACUCCCAUCUCUCCUGGAGGUUAUAUUCAAGGGAUGGGAACUUUAUCUAAGAAAAUAUAGUGUCAGCUGGUGACUGGAGCUCCGGGUCGGAGGAGGAGGGGGAGGCAGGGCUGCUGGGUGCAGUUGGCCAGGUUGUGCACUGCCCAAGUCUGGCAGAACAGUCCCCAUCAGUCAUCCUAGAGUCCCACCCUCACAGGGAUGGUUUCCCAGCAGAUGGCAGUAACAUGUCUGAGGAAGGGCCUACCUGUAAUUUGCCCAAGGCCACCUCCUGGGCUCACAGCAGUGGGAAGAAGGGGGUCCUGCCAGGAUGACCCAGAGUUGCAACUGUCACUUCCAGGCAGCUCUGCCCCCCUCAGACAGCUCCUAACCAGGGCACCGCAUGUCUCGGCCCCCACGCAGACUCAGGAAGGGCCAUGAACUCGGCUGUUCUUAGCGCAGACAGGAACGUGGGGACAGCAGGUGCUGGAGGUGAGUCACUGGGAAGGUCGGGGACAGUGGAGACCUGGACAGGGCCUGUCCCCUCAGGGCAGUGACCUUCAGGUUAUACCAACACACCUGUGCCAGCCAGGCACACCUGUCAGGGGCUCCUGCAGCCCUGUACCCCGAGUGCUGCCCCUGGUGAUGGUCGCAUCUCUUCCGUUUCUCCUGAGGCCUCUCCCCGCAGGGACAAGCUCCUCCGUGAAUGCGGGGUCCCGGGGAGGCUCCCAGAUGCCACGCGUCCCGGUGCCGGCCCCAGGGGUCCCACUCAGACGCACAGGGUGAAGGUCCCUGUGUCUCUGGGUCUGAGGACGUCUGUGACUCCGUGUCCGGCUGUGCGGGCACAGAGCGUCUCUGAGGCUUGCGGUAUUUUCACAAAAACUCCUCCCCAAAACUUAUGAGCCUGAGAGCAACACAUUCAUUUCUGUGACACAGGAUGAAAUAAGGGGACAUUUUUCACGUUUCUGUUUUA
rnacentral:lncRNA from 1 species